UCGUAACAAGGUUUCCGUAGGUGAACCUGCGGAAGGAUCAUUACCGAGUGAGGGCCCUCUGGGUCCAACCUCCCACCCGUGUCUAUCGUACCUUGUUGCUUCGGCGGGCCCGCCGUUUCGACGGCCGCCGGGGAGGCCCUGCGCCCCCGGGCCCGCGCCCGCCGAAGACCCCAACAUGAACGCUGUUCUGAAAGUAUGCAGUCUGAGUUGAUUAUCGUAAUCAGUUAAAACUUUCAACAACGGAUCUCUUGGUUCCGGCAUCGAUGAAGAACGCAGCGAAAUGCGAUAAGUAAUGUGAAUUGCAGAAUUCAGUGAAUCAUCGAGUCUUUGAACGCACAUUGCGCCCCCUGGUAUUCCGGGGGGCAUGCCUGUCCGAGCGUCAUUGCUGCCCUCAAGCACGGCUUGUGUGUUGGGCCCCCGUCCCCCUCUCCCGGGGGACGGGCCCGAAAGGCAGCGGCGGCACCGCGUCCGGUCCUCGAGCGUAUGGGGCUUUGUCACCUGCUCUGUAGGCCCGGCCGGCGCCAGCCGACACCCAACUUUAUUUUUCUAAGGUUGACCUCGGAUCAGGUAGGGAUACCCGCUGAACUUAAGCAUAUCAAUAA
rnacentral:misc_RNA from 1 species